rnacentral:rRNA from 1 species
UACGUAGGGCGCAAGCGUUGCCCGGAAUUAUUGGGCGUAAAGAGCUCGUAGGCGGUCUGUCGCGUCUGUUGUGAAAACUCGAGGCUCAACCUCGGGCUUGCAGUGGAUACGGGCAGACUAGAGUGUGCGGGAGGGAGUGAACUCGAUUCGUGGUGAGGCGGUGAAUGCGCAGAUAUCAGGAGGAACACCGGUAGCGGAAGGCAGGAUCUCUGGGCCAUAACUGACGGCUGAGGAGCGAAAGCAUGGGAGCGAACAGG